UUAAUAAGGAAUCUCAUAGGUGACUGUACAACCACAGUUGAAAAGGGAAGCCGGUUAGAGGCCGGCACGGUCCCGCCGCUGUAAGGGAAAUAUACUUCUUGGCAUUACCACUGAAAGGGUUUCGGGAAGGUAAGAAGUAUAGAUGAUCCUAAGUCAGAAGACCUGCCUAUGUGUAUACCACCAAC
rnacentral:ncRNA from 20 species